AGGCGCUGAUGAUUCAAAUUUAUACCAUCAAACUUUGAGAGCUUUCAGAGGAAGCUUGUUGAUGUAAAUCUUCUACUAUUCUCUGAGCCG